rnacentral:rRNA from 2 species
UACGAAGGGUGCAAACGUUGCUCGGAAUCAUUGGGCGUAAAGCGCACGUAGGCGGCCUCAUAAGUCGGAUGUGAAAUCCCUCGGCUCAACCGAGGAAGUGCAUCCGAAACUGCGAGGCUCGAGUAUGGAAGAGGGUCGCAGAAUUCCCGGUGUAGAGGUGAAAUUCGUAGAUAUCGGGAGGAAUACCAGUGGCGAAGGCGGCGACCUGGGCCAAUACUGACGCUGAGGUGCGAAAGCGUGGGGAGCAAACAGG